rnacentral:misc_RNA from 1 species
CGAUGCCAUUUUGUCUCGCUCUCAAUUGUAGCCAGUUCACUACAACUACAGGGAGCAAUACUCAUCUUUGUCCUGUCACUCACUUGCGUUGCCGCUCAUUGACCGUUAAGUUUCGUGCCACCGUCGCCGGCGAGUCAGAUAUGGCAGCCUUAACAGUCCGAGUCGCUGCAGCUCAGAUGACUUCAAUCAACGACCUCGCUGCCAAUUUCGCUACCUGCUCUCGCCUUACCAAAGAAGCAGCAGCUGCUGGGGCAAAAUUGCUUUGUUUGCCAGAAAGUUUCUCUUUUAUUGGGGCUAAGGAUGGGGACAGUGUUAAGGUUGCAGAACCUUUGGAUGGUCCAAUCAUGCAACAGUAUUGCUCCUUGGCUAGAGAGUCUGGCAUUUGGUUAUCGCUUGGAGGCUUCCAAGAAAGAGGUUGUGAUGAUGCACACCUGCGCAACACGCAUGUUAUCAUUGAUGACAGUGGGAACAUUAGAGACACUUAUCGGAAAAUAUUCUUGUUUGAUGUAGAUGUUCCUGGCGGAAGAGUAUACAAGGAAAGCAGCUUUACAGAAGCUGGAAAGGAUAUAGUUGCAGUUGAUAGCCCUGCUGGACGCUUGGGUCUGUCAGUUUGCUAUGAUUUAAGAUUCCCAGAGCUUUACCAGCAGCUCAGGUUCCAAAAAGAAGCACAGAUUCUUUUGGUACCUGCAGCUUUUACAAAAAUUACCGGUCAGGCACACUGGGAGAUUCUGCUUCGAGCUCGUGCAAUUGAGACUCAGUGCUAUGUGUGAAAUCCAUUCUCACUUUAACUGAACUAAGCCUGUCUCAAUUAAUGUGAUUGUUGAUAAUUCAUAAAAAUAAUUUAUGGAUUUUUAUUUGAUGCCCCCACUAAAUUUUCCCCCCUAAUACAUUCAAAAAUGUCUAUCAAAGCUGCUAGAUCUACCAAACCUUGAUAAAAAUUUUAUGCAGAAGGCUCAUUAUAAUUCUUUUUAUUUCUAAUUAAAAAAUAAAAAUAAAGUAGCAUAUGUAAUAGUCAAGUAAAAGGUACCAAAAAAUAAAAUUAAAAGCUGAUCAAUAAUAUGAAAGAAGAAAAAAGGGGAAGGGAAAGACAUUUACUCCAUACACUUUCACUCUCUCUAAAAACUUAAAAAUGUCAAUAUAUUUCAAAUUGUAUUUAUGAAAUUAAUAUUUCAUUGUUCCUUUUUACAUUUUUUAAUUGAUGCAGCUUUUUUUUUUGGUAUGUGAAUAUACCUUUUUAUAUUCAUAGAGGUAUGCUAUACUGAAAAUUGAAUUUGUUAUCUUCAUAUGAAUGGUGCCUCACAUGACAAAUUUCUGGCUUCACCACCUUACAUGAUAUUUCAUCUCACAUCUUUCUGGAAUGUGUACAUUAUCAGGUGAUAGCUGCUGCACAAGCUGGAAAACAUAAUGAUAAAAGAGAAAGCCAUGGUCAGGCAUUAAUAAUUGAUCCCUGGGGAACAGUAGUUGGUCAAUUGCCAGAUCGACUCUCAACAGGUAUUACUGUGGCUGAUAUUGAUUUUGCAUUGAUUGACUCAGUGAGAGCGAAGAUACCAAUCGCCCAGGUAAAUUCUGUUCAAUUCACCUAAAAACUUCAUUUAAAAACUUAAAAAUAAUCUUAAACCUGCAAUCCCGGGCCCAGUGAUUAACAAUAGCAUGUACUGUGGGCUCAAGACCUGUCUACUUAACAGUUGAGGGACAAACACUUUAAAUCCAUACUAGGUACACAGUCCUAUUGAUAUUUGUUUUGUUUUUCUUACAAACGUAAAACAGUAAACACGGCAUGGUGGGGCUCAAAUUGCUAUUAGGCGAGAUUUGAGUUUGUGGUAGCCCUGGUUGAGGUUUAGCCAGGCUGGCUGAGACAGCUCAAGUAAUGUAGUUGUUACCCAUGUUUGAGGGGAUGCAAUCCUUAUCCAAGUACAAAAGGAGAUAAUUUAAAUGUCAUGGAAUCCACAAUAUCAGAAGUAUUCUCAAAAGAUUGUUCACUGUACAAAAGUCUAAGCUUCAUUUAGUUUAUGGAAUAGCAUGGAGUAGGAUAGGAAUGGAAUAGCUAUUCUUAGUUUUGGUUCAAAUUUUAAUUGUGGAAUAACUAUUCUGUGGAAUAUAUUUUCCAAAAUCUAGUAUUCUGAUAGAAAUUCGAAAUGUAUAAAAAUUAUUAUUUAGAACAGAUAUGAAUUCAUGCAUAAGAAUAGCUAUUCAAGUGCAUGGAAUUGUAAUUCCUCUGUAAAGCAAAUGAAGCGCAAGUAAGAAUCGUAAUCCAACUAUUAAUUUCCUCUCCCUCAAAGGCUUCUUCGUAAUCUUCACUCUAGACUGCCCAAAGAAUAUUUUCUGGUGAUGGGAAUGCUUGUAAUAUAAAUGAAAUAUAUAUUUCAUAUCUUGGCAAAUUCUUAUGUUUGUAAUCAAAUGCAAUUUUGUACUUCAGCAACGGAAGCCCAUUGAUUUCUGGAAAUCUUCAUCUCUCUGAUUUGAGUCCUGCCACAUCUGCUAUAUCCAGAUGUUAGGUCAAAGCCACAUCAAAUUCUUACUGUGAUAUAAUUCAAGGACAUGCUUCUUAUUGCUCUCUGGAAGAAGUAUGACACAGUUAUGCCUUGUAAGUUGCAAAAUAAGUUAAAGUUUUCUUUGUCAGGGAGCUGUUUAUGUGCACUUCAUUUUAUCCAUAUCUCUGUAAUUAGAUUCUUGUGCUAUUAGUAAACAAUAUAUUCAUCUAAUUUCCUAUAGUCGAUGGGUUGCGACAAUUCUGAAAAAAUUCAAACAUUUAAUGCCUUCCCUUUAUUCUGGAUCCAGUAAAUUACUCAAGUGAUAACAGCUUCUAGCAAAUUGUUACUGUAAAAAAAUGUUAAAG